UGGGGAAUUUUGGACAAUGGGGGAAACCCUGAUCCAGCCAUCCCGCGUGUGCGAUGAAGGCCUUCGGGUUGUAAAGCACUUUUGGCAGGAAAGAAACGUCAUGGGUUAAUACCCCGUGAAACUGACGGUACCUGCAGAAUAAGCACCGGCUAACUACGUGCCAGCAGCCGCGGUAAUACGUAGGGUGCAAGCGUUAAUCGGAAUUACUGGGCGUAAAGCGUGCGCAGGCGGUUCGGAAAGAAAGAUGUGAAAUCCCAGAGCUCAACUUUGGAACUGCAUUUUUAACUACCGGGCUAGAGUGUGUCAGAGGGAGGUGGAAUUCCGCGUGUAGCAGUGAAAUGCGUAGAUAUGCGGAGGAACACCGAUGGCGAAGGCAGCCUCCUGGGAUAACACUGACGCUCAUGCACGAAAGUGUGGGGAGCAAACAGG
rnacentral:rRNA from 1 species